GCCGGAAUAGCUCAGUGGUAGAGCGCAUCACUCGUAUACUUGUCUGAAAAUGACAAGGCCAAACGACAUGAUGAGGUCCACGGUUCAAUCCCGUGUUUCGGCA